UAUUUGCUGGGCUCUGCCCCCCCCCAGGGUGCAGUGGGAGGCUUCAGGUGCUGGGAGGGGGCUUCGUGCCUCAGGUUUAGCAGCAGCAGAUGUGCCAAGAAGAUGAAGUUUGCUCUUCCCCGCUCUCCUGCCCUCUUGUUUCAGCCUCGACCGCUGCUGGCAGCCCCUGGGGAGCCGCCCGGGGGUCUCAUCCCGCUGCCACAGCCGGCAGAGGCUCCAGGGCUCCAGCACCUGGGAGCCACCAGGCUGCUCAUGCACCACCGGUACCAAACCCUGCUGGGAGGCUGUGCCUGUGCCCCCGCAGCACCCAGGGGUGUGGAGCAGUGACAAAAGGCAGAAGAAAGGAGACAGGCAUGGGGCCUGGCCACUGGAGUGAGCCCAUGGGGCAGGACCGGGACCCUCCUUCCCUAUCAAAUUCAGCAGCUUCCCAGUUCCGCAGGGCACCGUGCCAUCAGGACCUCCAGGGAGGUUUCUGCAGAAGAAAGCGAGUUUUUGUGCCUGGAUGUUCAAGCCGAGCACCUCUCGGGGAGGAGCGGAGUCCGACUAUUUUUAUUUAUUGACUUUUAAAGGAGAGCUAAGAACAAUUUAUCAAAGAGCAGCGGAGAAUCUGGUAAUUGUUUAAUUUCACAACAGCAGGGUUACGGCCUGAUGCUCUGGCAGCAGGACAGCACGCCGGCCGGGCUCAAGCAUCCAGAGUAAGCAAUCAUCAAUUACCGCUCCUCGAUGAUUACAGGCGAAGGCUGCAGUCCCAGCAACGGAAAAGCUGCUUAUCUCUCUAGGAACAUAUCUCCGUGCCGUCCCCCAGACCGUGAGGAAGAAGUGCAGGAGGACGAGCAGCGUCUGACUCAGCGCGGUGACUCACCGGGCCCGGCCGCUGCUCAUCGCCUGCAUCCGCGGUCCAAGUGUCUGUGGAGCUGGGUGGGGUGCGAGCCCCGGGGGCUCCCGGUGGCUGCAUCCCGGGUUCUGGGGCGGGCGGGGGGCCCUGGAGGCUGCAUCUCAUCUUCCACUGUUUAUGGCUUUUCCUGGUGAAGCCCCGGUGCUGAAGCUCGGCGUGCUGCAGCUCUCCUUUCCAUGCUGUGCUUGCCUCCCCCGUUGUAACCGCAGGUUUGGGUUAUUUUGGUGGGUUGCCCUUAGCUGCCGUGUUUCCCUGAUGUUAAUUUGUUGGUCUUAGAUGAGCUCCCAGAGAAGAUUUAACAACAAGUGCUGUAGCCAAGGGAAGCACAGCCUCGGUCAGCACUCGCUGUGCAGCCAAAUAUCCGUGCCGCCAAGCCUCCCGGCACGGUGUGCGCUCCUCACAAGUUGCAGAGGGCUCCCACAGACAGGAGCACAGCAGCACCGGGGCUCCCCAGGCAGGAGCAGGAGGUGGCAACGACUGCUCCUGGCUCCGCUGGGUGUGAGCAGCAGGGGAAGGUGCCAACGCCGCUGGGGAUGGGGAGAACUGAAGCACUGUGAAGGGUGCUGCGGCAUCGGCCUCAGGCAGCGAGCACCGGUGGCUGGGGAUUGUGGCUCAGGCUGUGGGACCGCAGCAGUGACCCUAAAUGAGUGGGGCCGAGCCCCCUCCUUCUCUGCAGCCCGGCUGAUGUGCCCUGGCACCCGUCCUUCUGAGAGGAGAGGCCCUGGAGCAGCGUGGCAGUGCCAGAGAGGAGAGUGAAGUGGCAGCUCACAGCGUGGCCGGGUUAUCUUGGCAACCUCAGGCACAGAAAAAUGCUGCUGCGGUUUGAAGGCUGAAGAUGUGGGGAGAGUAAAUUACGCUCCGCACCUGUGUAACUCACCGAAGGAGACAGCCCUGCCCUCCCAGCACCCCUAUUUACGGCCCAGAAGACAUGACAAAACGCGGCGGUGGAGGCUCCUGCGUGCAGGCUCCUGCAGCUGGGCACAACCGGGAUGAAAAAGGCUGGGAGAGGAACGGUGCUGAGCUGACAGCCACGGCUCGGACCAGCCACAGCCCUCCAGCACCCACCACGUCCUGGCUGGGCUCUGCUCUGCUCAGGGCUCGUUCUGCCCCUGCACUCACCACGGUCACUGCAGGGGCUGUGGUGGUGGGGCCGGGCAGCGAGCCGAGAGCUUUGCCCUGGGCUCUGCUCGGCACAGCAGGCGCCGGGCUCGGUGCUGGAAGGGAUUUCACACGGGUGGCUGCUGAUGCACCCGCUGCACGGCCACCUCCCCGCCCGCAGCAUCACAGCACCCGAGGCUGAUCGAGGCAGAGAGGCGGAAACUGGAUCUGGCCCUGCAGGCGGUGACCCCACGCGCUGCGGCCAGCAAGGGGAGGCCAGGCCCUCAGCAUCUCCACAGCCCCUGGGGAAGCUAAAGCCCAGCUCAGAGCUGUCUGCGUUCACCCUCAGGGGGUCACAAGAGAAAAGUUUCCCAAGGAGUGGGAUUUUUGCAGGCCACAGGUUCCUCCCCAGCUCAUCGGGGGGUCAGGUGCUUGCUCCUAGGACAGCAUCCCUAACCUGUCACCAUCCCGUCAGAGAAGGGCGAGUGCAGUCUGCUUCUCCUAUUGUUUAAUUCAGAAAAGGAGCAGAGGAGGUGGGGUUACACUCUCCAGAGCACAACCUGCUCUGGGUUUGCUCACUGCGCAGCAACGGUGUUUACGGACUCAGAUUCCAAACCUCUCCUUUCUCAAGGCUGUGAAGAUGUAUUUCCUCUUGUGCCAUUUCUCCUUCUGGCAGGCAGGCUCCCAGGUGUGUCUGGUAAAUGUCAAAGUGGGAAAUAAAGUUGUUCACUGAAAAAAAUAAAAUAAAAAGAGGGGAAAAAAAAAAAGAAGUGCAAGUGCUGCAGGGUGAGGGCCAGCCUGGGAGCAGCGGGCAGGCAGCACCACAGCCCUGCAGCACCACCAGCCCUGGGCAUGGCUGCUGCAGCCCCAGAGGAGGAGGAGGGGGCUGGGAAGAGCAGCUCAGGGCUGCACCAGCCCCCGGCAGGCUGCUGUCACGCUCACCCUUUGUUUUUGUGGAGCACAUGGGUGGAAACAAGAAUACUGCA